rnacentral:misc_RNA from 1 species
GACGGGCUGAAGUGCUUGCAUAACUGCUUCGUGAAUCUGGUCCCUGGUCCGGAUGUAGCCACACCUGACCCAGUUUGCGUUGUUGCUGACAGUAGCUAUGCUAUUCGUUACCAUGGGAACUACAAAGGCCCACAUCAACAUUUGUCAUGCAUCUCCACAAAGUGCACGCGUUGCUCGGUCGCCAAAUUCAAGCAUUAAUGACUUGGAUCAGAAAGCAACUAUACCUACACAAACUGAUCCAAG